GAUGAACGCUGGCGGCGUGCCUAAUACAUGCAAGUCGAACGAGGUGCUUUUGUAGCAAUACGAGAGUAUCCUAGUGGCGAACGGGUGAGUAACGCGUUGGUGACCUACCCCAAAGUGUGGGAUAACAGUCCGAAAGGAUUGCUAAUACCGCAUGUGGUUAUUGGAUUUAGAAACCGAUAACUAAAGGAGCAAUUCGCUUUGGGAGGGACCUGCGUCCCAUCAGCUAGUUGGUGAGGUAAUGGCUCACCAAGGCUACGACGGGUAGGGGACCUGAGAGGGUGACCCCCACAA
rnacentral:rRNA from 1 species